AAAAAGCUCAAAUGUAACAUUUUAUCCUCUAUUUUUAAAAAUUUAAAUUUUUAUUAGUAGCUACAGAUGAAGUAAAUGGAAUUUUGAGAGGAAUUUCCACUAUCUACUUCUAAUGGGCAAAAUACCAUGCUACCUGGACACAGCAGAAAACCGGGAGGCUACUUACUAUAAUAACAAGUGGGGAUUAAGAAGAAGUGCAGAGGGUUGAGGAGGUGGUAUCUGGUUCUCCAGGUGAAUCAUAACACAAUUGCAGAUAUGCAGAUCUUACCUAGACAUUGUGAUCUGGUGAAGGUAUAACUCAGUGCAUGUGAGGGUAAGUAUACACCUUUAUCUCUCCAAAACUGGGAUUAAAAAAAUAAACCAGGAGGAACCAUU
rnacentral:lncRNA from 1 species